GACGGAGGGGGCAAGCGUUGUCCGGACUCACUGGGCGUAAAGGGUGCGUAGGCGGUCUUUAAGUCAGGGGUGAAAUCCUGGAGCUCAACUCCAGAACUGCCUUUGAUACUGAGGAUCUUGAGUUCGGGAGAGGUGAGUGGAACUGCGAGUGUAGAGGUGAAAUUCGUAGAUAUUCGCAAGAACACCAGUGGCGAAGGCGGCUCACUGGCCCGAUACUGACGCUGAGGCACGAAAGCGUGGGGAGCAAACAGG
rnacentral:rRNA from 1 species